ACUCCUACGGGAGGCAGCAGUGGGGAAUAUUGCACAAUGGGCGCAAGCCUGAUGCAGCCAUGCCGCGUGUAUGAAGAAGGCCUUCGGGUUGUAAAGUACUUUCAGCGGGGAGGAAGGGAGUAAAGUUAAUACCUUUGCUCAUUGACGUUACCCGCAGAAGAAGCACCGGCUAACUCCGUGCCAGCAGCCGCGGUAAUACGGAGGG
rnacentral:rRNA from 1 species